UUUUUACAAGUGGUUUUUUAAAACUCUAAGAAUUGGAAUUAAGUACCUGGUUUUAUCUGUGAUAGGUCUAUCUCAUCAGUCAAGCUGUAUUCUCACUAUAAACAAUCAGAGAUGUGCUCCAACUUGAGAAUUAGCUGAUGCAUGCAGAAGUUCCAUCAAUCAAUGUACAAGCAUGUUCUGAUAGAAUAACUGGCUGAAUUCAGAAGGGAAAAAGAUGACCUUGUCCAUUUUAACUGCUGAUGGAAAACAUCCUCACAUUAUGUUGUCAGAGACUUAAGGGUAGAAAGUGUUGUACCUCCUCUUUAGAAUUUUAUACUAAAAUGAUGAGACGCUGGAGGGCUUACACUAUAAGAACAUGCCACCAAAAAAAAGAUCACUUUGUCUUCCUGGAAGGCUACUAAAUAACAGGGUAUGGGGCUAGACCACAGAUGUCUGGUUUAACAGUUCACAGUUGAGGAUGGUACGGAGUCUCAGAAAACUAUAAAAUCCUCAGCUGAGCCAGUUACCGGUAAGAUUCCACCUACGUGUGCACUACUUAAAUAUCUUCCUACAUACUUGAGCCUAAAUGACCUGUCAGCAGAGGGUGUCUGUGACAGUUGCAAGAGAAUGGCCUUACUUGCUCAGGACUGUGUGUGGGUGUUAAACAUGGCACUUUUAAGCAUAAAUUUAUGAGGUGCAAACUUUUAAUGCAAAGAUGACUCAUAAAGUUUCAGAAUGUGUAAAUAUGAAGCACAAUCUUAACUUAUACCGUCACUGGUG
rnacentral:lncRNA from 1 species